ACGAGGGGGAUAGGGUCAGUAGGGACCUUGGGUAAAGAACGAAAAUGUUGCCCCAUAUUUCCUUAAUGUGCCUCACAAUUCUAGUGUUAUGGCACAUAAAAUAGUGGGGGCUUUAACCCAUUAAAAUGUCCGGGCUUUUUCUACAGAUCUAGCAAACCAGCUGGGCAACAUCGAUAAUAGUGUAGAAGAACUGGGGUCAUAGAUUCUGCCUUCAUGACUGCCUGAAGCACGUGCGCGAACGCAUGGCAAGCCAUGUGCUCGUGAGCUUCCUACAAUCAGCGAGUAAAGCGAGAGGUGACUGGGACGCAAGGCCGCACUUUUGAACAGUCUGGACGAGAUGAAGUGACUAUCAUUGGACUAAAAGAGAAAGCUGCCAUAGUAGUGUUGAUGGCCAGAUGAACUCAAGAUUCUGUGACCAGUUUGUUCAGUGACCAAGUACCAUGGAGGAUGAAAACAUGACGCAGCAAGGCAUGCAACGAGUCAUCAAACAGACUGGUGAAUGCAUCCCAUUGAUCUGUAGACCUUACUAGCCUGUUCAACAUUUAAAUAAACUUUUAU